UACAGAGGAGCCAAGCGUUGUCCGGAUUGACUGGGCGUAAAGCGCACGCAGGCGGUCGCGCGCGUGGGGUGUGAAAUCUGGCCGCUUAACGGCCAGGCGCCAUCCCAUACGGCGCGACUGGAGUGAUGCAGAGGUCGGUGGAAUUGCCGGUGUAGUGGUGAAAUGCGUAGAGAUCGGCAGGAACACCCAGGGGGAAACCAGCCGACUGGGCAUCAACUGACACUCAUGGACGAAAGCUAGGGGAGCGAAAGGG
rnacentral:rRNA from 1 species